rnacentral:tRNA from 1 species
GAGGGUACAGCUCAAAUGGUAGAGUGCAUGCUUUCUGCAUGCAUGAAGUCCUGGGUUCAAUCCACAUUACCUCCA